rnacentral:rRNA from 1 species
AUUGAACGCUGGCGGCAGGCCUAACACAUGCAAGUCGAACGAGUGGCGGACGGGUGAGCAAUGUCUGGGAAACUGCCUGAUGGAGGGGGAUAACUACUGGAAACGGUAGCUAAUACCGCAUACCAUCGGAUGUGCCCAGAUGGGAUUAGCUAGUAGGUGGGGUAAAGGCUCACCUAGGCGACGAUCCCUAGCUGGUCUGAGAGGAUGACCGGCCACACUGGAACUGAGACACGGCCCAGACGCCUAAGGGAGGCAGCAGUAGGGAAUCUUCGGCAAUGGACGAAAGUCUGACCGAGCAACGCCGCGUGAGUGAAGAAGGCCUUCGGGUUGUAAAGUACUUUCAGCGGGGAAGCGUUACCCACAGAGGAAGCACCGGCUAACUCCGUGCCAGCCGCCGCGGUAAUAC